rnacentral:rRNA from 2 species
CGGGAGGCAGCAGUAGGGAAUCUUCCACAAUGGACGAAAGUCUGAUGGAGCAACGCCGCGUGAGUGAUGAAGGUUUUCGGAUCGUAAAACUCUGUUGUUAAAGAAGAACAAGUGUUAGAGUAACUGUUAACACUUUGACGGUAUUUAACCAGAAAGCCACGGCUAACUACGUGCCAGCAGCCGCGGUAAUACGUAGGUGGCAAGCGUUGUCCGGAUUUAUUGGGCGUAAAGCGAGCGCAGGCGGUUUUGUAAGUCUGCUGUGAAAGCCCUCAGCUCAACUGAGGAAGUGCAGUGGAAACUACAAAACUUGAGUACAGAAGAGGAAAGUGGAACUCCAUGUGUAGCGGUGAAAUGCGUAGAUAUAUGGGAAGAACACCAGUGGCGAAGGCGGCUUUCUGGUCUGUUACUGACGAUGAGGCUCGAAAAGCAUGGGUAGCGAACAGGAUUUAGAUACCCUGGUAGUCCAUGCCGUAAACGAUGAAUACUAGGUGUUGGAGGGUUUCCGCCCUUCAGUGCCGCAGCUAACGCAUUAAGUAUUCCGCCUGGGGAGUACGACCGCAAGGUUGAAAACUCAAAGGAAUUGACGGGGGCCCGCACAAGUGGUGGAGCAUGUGGUUUAAUUCGAUGCUACGCGAAGAACCUUACCAGCUCUUGACAUCUUCUGCCAACCCAAGAGAUUGGGCGUUCCCUUCGGGGACAGAAUGACAGGUGGUGCAUGGUUGUCGUCAGCUCGUGUCGUGAGAUGUUGGGUUAAGUCCCGCAACGAGCGCAACCCUUAUUAUUAGUUGCCAGCAUUUAGUUGGGCACUCUAGUGAGACUGCCGGUGAUAAACCGGAGGAAGGUGGGGACGACGUCAAAUCAUCAUGCCCCUUAUGAGCUGGGCUACACACGUGCUACAAUGGAUGGUACAACGAGUCGCGAAACCGCGAGGUCAAGCUAAUCUCUUAAAGCCAUUCUCAGUUCGGAUUGCAGGCUGCAACUCGCCUGCAUGAAGUUGGAAUCACUAGUAAUCGUGGAUCAGCAUGCCACGGUGAAUACGUUCCCGGGCCUUGUACAC